ACACAGGUAUCGAAAAUACAACACAGUUGAAAUUUCACAAUCCAUCUGGCCCAUAAACCGUAGAACCACACUGCCUCACCCGAAAUUAUACACAGGAUCAGAACCUCACAUCUAUACUCAGAAUCAAUCCGAACCAGCUGUAACAACCCACACCUGCAACUUCAAGUGCGUUCAUGCAAUAUACCACACAUUACAACACUCG
rnacentral:lncRNA from 1 species